CUCGAGCGUAUAUUUAAGUUGUUGCGGUUAAAAAGUUCGUAGUCGAAUCUUUGACACGCUCGACGCUAGUCCGGCAAUUCGCUGUGUACUUCGUCAGCUUGUCACUUUGGCACAGCUACGGGCGGUGGCGAUUAACUUCGUCGCCGUUUCGUGUGUGCCUGUUUACUGUGAAUAAUUCGGAGUGUUCAAGACAGGCCAAUUGGCCACUGAACGAUCUUGCAUGGGAUAAUAGAAAAGGGCUUUGUCUGAUCUAUUGGUUCAAUCAGCUGAGUAAUGAUUAAUACGAACGGAGGGGGUGUUUCGUAUGAAGAGGGAAGAGGUGAAAUUCUAUGAUUCUCUUCAGACGAACUACUGCGAAGGCAUUGCACAACAACGUUUCGAUUGAUCAAGAACUAAAGUGUGGGGAUCAAAGACGAUUAGAUACCAU
rnacentral:rRNA from 1 species